UCCCUAGUGGUCCAGUGGUUUAAGACUCCCCACUUUCAAUGCAGGGGGGUGCAGGUUCGAUUCCUGGUCAGGGAA
rnacentral:tRNA from 1 species